GAUGAACGCUGGCGGCGUGCCUAAUACAUGCAAGUCGAGCGAACGGACGAGAAGCUUGCUUCUCUGAUGUUAGCGGCGGACGGGUGAGUAACACGUGGAUAACCUACCUAUAAGACUGGGAUAACUUCGGGAAACCGUAGCUAAUACCGGAUAAUAUUUUGAACCGCAUGGUUCAAAAGUGAAAGACGGUCUUGCUGUCACUUAUAGAUGGAUCCGCGCUGCAUUAGCUAGUUGGUAAGGUAACGGCUUACCAAGGCAACGAUGCAUAGCCGACCUGAGAGGGUGAUCGGCCACACUGGCACUGAGACACGGUCCAGACUCCGACGGGAGGCAGCAGUAGGGAAUCUUCCGCAAUGGGCGAAAGCCUGACGGUGCAACGCCGCGUGAGUGAUGAAGGUCUUCGGAUCGUAAAACUCUGUUAUUAGGGAAGUACAUAUGUGUAAGUAACUGUGAACAUCUUGACGGUACCUAAUCAGAAAGCCACGGCUAACUACGUG
rnacentral:rRNA from 1 species